rnacentral:tRNA from 1 species
GCCGUUGUAGCUCAGCCGGUAGAGCAACUCCAUGGUAAGGAGUAGGUCAUCGGUUCAAAUCCGAUCAACGGCU